UACGUAGGGUGCAAGCGUUAAUCGGAAUUACUGGGCGUAAAGCGUGCGCAGGCGGUUUUGUAAGUCUGUCGUGAAAUCCCCGGGCUCAACCUGGGAAUUGCGUUGGAGACUGCAAGGCUAGAAUCUGGCAGAGGGGGGUAGAAUUCCACGUGUAGCAGUGAAAUGCGUAGAGAUGUGGAGGAACACCGAUGGCGAAGGCAGCCCCCUGGGUCAAGAUUGACGCUCAUGCACGAA
rnacentral:rRNA from 1 species